AGGGAAAAUAGUUUAAUAAAAAUAUUUUACUUGCAGUAAAAAGUUAUUUCUAUAAUUUUUCUUU
rnacentral:tRNA from 1 species